GGCUUUAGUGUCCCCGCGGCCCGGUCCUCGACCAGGCCUCCAGCUAGUUAGUUACAGUUGAUUGACAGUUGAGAGGCGGGCCGAAAGAGCUGAGCUAAACCCCCGCAAGCACAACUAGGUGAAUACUUGAAGGACUGAGGCAGACACUUCAAGGACCGAAGCAGACACACUUCAAGAACUGAAGCAGAUACACUUAAGGGACUGAAGUAGACACAUUUCAAGAACCGAAGCAGACACACUUCAGGGACUGAAGCAGACGCACUUUAGUGGCUGAAGAAAAUACACAUGAAGGCACACUUCAGGCAGUAAUACAAGAGAAAAAUGUCAGCAACCAUGUGAAAGCCUUUGAAGAAAUACAACUGCAGCAGGAACAACAUCAGCAGCAGGGACAACAACAUCAGCAGCAACAACAGUAAGAACAACAACAUCAGCAGCAGGAACAAUAACAUCAGCAGCAGGAACAAUAUCAGCAGCAGUAACAACAAUAUCAGCAGUAACAGCAGCAGGAACAACAUCAACAGCAGGAACAACAUCAACAGCAGCAGCAGCAACUGCAGUCUGGUGGUCGAAGAACAAUGCAUCAGUUCCCUUGCAGGCGGCAACACCCUCACACCAGCUGCCUCAUCUAUGGAAAACCUAAUGUCGAUUUUAUAGAUGAUGUCUAAAAAAUUGCAACACAACAUUGGUCAUCUGUGAUGUUUUGUUCAACAACAACAUAUCAUCAUAUUCUAGAAAUGACGUCAUUUAACUUCAGCAAAAGCCCAACUGGAAUCGCUACUAAUAAAGUUAUUUUGCAAAAUAAA
rnacentral:lncRNA from 1 species